GGGGAUAUAGCUCAGUUGGUAGAGCACUUGCCUUGCAUGCACAAGGCCCUGGGUUUGAUCCCCAGCACCCCCC
rnacentral:tRNA from 1 species